UCCCGAGUGUCCCGCAGUGUCCCGAGCUGGUGUACCGAGUGUCCCCGAGUGUCUCAAGCUGGUGUCCCGAGUGUCCCCGAGGGUCACGAGCUGGUGUUCCGAGUGUCCCCGAGCGUCACGAGCUGGUGCCCCGGGCUGGGGUGCAGCUGGGGAGAAAGCACCACGGAGUGCUCGGCUCUGCGGUGCCCGAAAGUCCCCAGCCCUGCAGGCGUGAAAACCUAGGCUCGCCUGUUGCUUUUGAGCUCUGCUGAAGUCCGCUAGUCGCCCCCCGCCUCUGCUCUGUUAUUGUUUCGCCUGAAUCCUGAAUCUUAUUUUCCUCCAAUAUCGAACAAUUAGCAUUUAGGAAACACUCACCUGUACGUCCGAACCGCCCAGCGAGUGUUAAAAUUUUUGGUCGUUUGACCAACGAAAAAAUACCAGUAUAAAUCGGUAACACUUUAAUGAAACCCCGGCUUUGUUUUGCGUUUGAGCCCUAGAAGAAAUUGCCUCUCUGUUCUGUUGACAAGGCACUAUCCAUUUGCUGAAUUGGAAGAGAGUCCUGAAAGUGAGUUUUCAGCAUAAUCUUUUUAGAUGGGUUCAUUAAGCCUCGAAGACUCAAGGCUCCACUAAUCUUAAAGCUAAGAAUGAUAUAACAUCUGGACAUUACAGAAGAGGUUUCCCAGCCCAGAGCCUCUGGUGCCCCCUCUGCAGUGGACACGUCAUUCAAGACAAAGGAAAUUCCUGCCCCUGGCCAAAGGCAUCACAUUCAUAUUAAGUUUUGAAUAAACUUUCUUUUAAAUUUCUUUAUUGUUUUUAUGUCAAUGCUAUUUCUGGAAAGAUGGAAAGAUACAGGCUUGUGGAUGAAUAAUUUAUAAACAAGUAGUCAAAACUUGUGGUGAAUUAGGGUGCGGAUUCAAAAAGCACAGAACAAAGAGGCUUAUUUUCCCCUCUUUGGCUCAAAUGCAAAUCAAAGCCAGAGUUUCAGUAAAGUGCCCCUGACUGACACUGCAGCUGUUUUCCGUUUGUCGAGUGACCAAAGAGUGUAGCAAAGCAGUAGAACCUGUCUGAGACGGAAGUUGGUACCAGGAGUCAUCGCUGUGACAGACCUGACCGUGCAGCUUGUGGGUAGAAUGUGGACUUUGGGACUUAGGACAAGAAAAACACUUUAAGCAGGGCUUCCUGGCAAACAGUGGUGCUGAGAGCCGUGUCCAUUCUGACUGCCUGGCGCAAGAGGUUUCAGAGGAGAAUGCUACAAAGUGGCACAGAGAGUGUUGGUGAAGAUGCAGCUGCUCUCUGCCUUUGUCUGAGAAAUCUAUCCAAGACAAAAUUGAAGAACUUUGUAUUAAUGGCAUUGGAAGAGGAGAAUUCAAGACGGCUUAGUUUGUGUGGUCAUCGAGGCGUGGUGCAGGUGGAUAAUGAAGAGGAGCGAGCUGAGCGAGGAAAAAUACAAAAUGUAUCAUUGGGAAGUGUAACGGAUCUAAAUACAAUGCUCAAAGAGAUUUUUUAAAAAAAAGGUUGAAGCAAAGCCGGAUGUUAAAUGGAGUAAUGGGAAUGGCGUGGCGAUUCUCCUGCAGGCUUUUCAGCUCGCUGGGAAAAAAUGAUCAAGAGAUAGGAAUGAAACCUGACUCAGCCCGAUUUUCUUGUAACCAAUGCUGGACAAGGACUUCAAGAGUCUGGCCGAGAUCAUUUCACUUUAGCCAUAUUUAAGCACAGCACAAUUUUGAAAAAAGUAAUCAGAUAGCAACUGAUUCAGCCCCAAGUAUACAGCAAUUUAAGACAUGUUAGCGUUGAGAUUCCUUACAAAGAACAACUGACUUCUUGGGUACUGUUGAUUCAGGGAUAGUGCCCAAGGUUUAGGGUCUAGGGAGUUUGAAUGAGGUAAGCAUAAUGGGUUUUAUGGUCUAAAACUAAUGCUCAAGAUUUAGGGGACAAGGUCUUGAAUAAGCAUAAAACAUAAAUUCUGGGUGAUACAGUAGAACUUGUCUCAUCAGACAGCAAAGGAUCACCAGGUUGUAAAACAACAUCAUUCCUAGUAUUCCAGGAAGAGCAGCUUUACACCUCACUCCUUUGAAGAAGUAAGCUGUGUGCUUAAUUUUCCUGUUUUCUCCAGUGCUUAUCUGAGCACACACGGCUCUUCACUCUCUACAUCGGGACAGGACUCCACCCAGCUGGACUUCCAACUUGUAAAAUGGAACUUUAAAAAAAGCUCAAGUUGUGAAGGAAACCAUCAGAACCAGGAGGUUAAUGAAAUGUAUUUGAACGGGGUGGGGUGGGGGGGACAGGUGAAGAAAAGCAGAAGACCUUGGCAGCUUUGAAUACAAGAAAGGGCUUGUAGCAUUCCCCUCUGAGGCUAAGGAAAGCUGCUGAGGCCAGACAUUCAGGCAAUGUCUCUGAAUGGAGGCAUAGUAGAGACACAAUUGUGUGAAGUUGUGAAGUUGAAGCCUGGAUUGCCUUGCAGACCCCGAGAUAUUGGAGAUGCCAGAGUCUUGGAAUCCUUGCCAAGGAGAGCUGCUAACAGGGUGUUGAAGCAGCUCAAGAGAGAGCCAAUAUCCUUGUACCUACAUUCUGGAUGAGGAGACAGAACUCAUGACUCCUAGAAGCCUGUUCAUGGGCUGGGGAGAUGGCUUGGCAGCCCAGAGUGCCUAUUGUGCAAACAUGAAGUCUGGAGUUCUGAUUCCAGCACUGAUGCAACAAAAAAGAAGUUUUUCUUAUAAAUGCCUGGAACCCCAGCUCUGAGGAGGGCCGGACGGGACCUCUGGAGCUUCCUGCUUCCACCCUGGCUGGACACACUAACCCCAGGUUCUGCCUCAGAGGAGCAGGUGAGACUGACGGCCGAAGAGACCCAGCACCCUCUCCUGGCACACACUGGCCCUUCUCCAUCCUUGCCCCUUGACUCAUUUGUAUUCACUAUCCUACUUUUAAAAGCAACUUCCUUGUUUAUGGGUACGAAAUUAGUAUCCUACACAUUGUAUGGUUUGUUAAAAGUCAAUAUCACAUUUAUUGUUAUUUGGGAAUUGAUGUAUGCUCCACCUGACAUAAAUCUCCCGCAGUGAAGUGUUCAGUUUGGUGGAUUGGGGUACUUUCUCAAGGAUGAGCACACAGGGUCAAUAUCCAACUCCAGAACACUUUCUCCACCCUGAUGAGACCCUGCAACCACUACCAUUCACUUCCUGAUCUUUUCCCAGCAGCCCUGGCAACCACCAAUCUAUUUCCUGUUGCUAUGGAUUUUCCUGUCCUCCACAUUUCACAUACAUUGAAUUAAAAUGUGGCUAUGUGCCUGGCUCUUUGCCCUGUGUAUAAUUUUUUCAAGCUCAUCUAUGUCAUAUAGCAUAUGCUUUUUAAGCAUUUCAUUCCAUUUACGAUGGCCAAAUAAUAAUCUACCAAAUGUAUAUGAUCACAUUUUGUUUAUGCAGUCUCAAUGGCUGGUCACUUGUGUUAUUUCUCCAUCUGGGCAGUAUAAAUGAUUUUAUAGCAAACAUUCUGGGCAAGUUUACAAGACUAUGCAUUGCUAUUCUCUUGGAUACGUGCGCAAGAGCAAGAUUGCUGGCUCAUAGAGUCACUCUCUGGUUAACUUUGUGAUGAGCUGCCAAAUGGUUUGCCCAAGCAGCUGCACCCUUUUCUACCCUCACUAGCAUAGGCUUAAUACUCACAGGCUUAAUUCUGUAAAUUGAGAUUUUUUUCCCCCCAAAAUCACUUUGAAGACAAAAGUAUUUCAAUUUCCUUGUCAACCGUCAUUAUUCUGGAGUGCUUUCUAUCCCAUUUCUUUCUUCUCCUAACAAUUCAUCUAUUAAUAAAACUAAGCUGUUUGACCUGUAUAUUUCCCCACACUUGGCUUUUGCUGGGUGUGUGUACAAUGAACACUAAAACAUUACCUCUCUUAUGCAAAUUGGUGGCUGUUUCCACAAACUGGCUCACUCUAGAGUUGGUUCAUUUGACAAGUAGAAGAUUUGAGGUGGCAACACAGGUGUGGUGGUGCCACAUGCGUGUAACUCCAGAACUGGGGAGGUGAAGACGGGAGGAUCUCCAAAAGUUUAAGACAAGUCCGGGGUACACACUGAGACUCUGUCUCAGAGAGGGGUGGUGUGGGAGAACGGGAGAAUGUCAGUCCAGGGAGGUAAUUCAGUGGGUAGUGCUGCUUGCUGCUCGGCCUCCGGACCUGAGUUCCUCAGUGCUAAGAGAGAACUAACUCCUGCGAGUUGUUUGACCUUCACCUUGUGCACACCCACCAUAACAAAUAAACAAACGGGUGGAGUUUGAAGAGAAAGAGGCACAUCGUUUCUUAUAUUCUAUGGUGGUCCUUUUGGGUUUUGACACUGUCUCUUUUGUAAUGUCAGCUGAGUGUACACUCGCCAGUGGUAGCUGGGGUCUAAGCUGGGUGUUUCCAAGUUCCCGAAUGAGAUAAAAGCCCACAGAGAGAACGAAAUACCCAGGAAACUUUAUUCAAAGCCAAGUUAAAGUUCAGGUCCAAAAGUACGCACCAGGGGAGCAGAGAGCAGUGGGCCCAUAGAUGACAAAGCUUUCUAGGGCUUCGUUAUCAUCUGGGGCCUUUUCUAUGGGGUUCAGGGCAAGAGGUGUUUGAUUACAAGGAGUGAAAUUUAGGUGGUUCUCUAUGUUAAUGGACAGACUGGGGUUACAGCAGGAGUCCACGCAGCUCUGUGCAGGUGCGGCUCCUAACAGCUCGUGACGUUGCCAGUAUAUGCAGGUAAAGGGUCUCAGGCUGCCAAGCACACGGUUAGAUGAGGAAUGUGUGUACAGUCAAAGCCCAACAUGCUAGACUAUUUCUUACGCUUGCCUGUCUCAGCCUUCAAUCUGCAGUGGUUCUCCUGUCCUCCUGCCCCUUCCUCCACGGUGUUGGGAUUAUAGGAGUGCACCAGCAAGUCAGGCCUUGGUGGUUUCAUAUGAUACGAAGUGACUUCAGACAUCAGCAGCUAUUGGUGCUCCCUGUCCAGGUGUAUUGGUCCACUGGGGAUUACAAAAUGACAAUAUUCAAAGUCUAGCCUCUGAUUUCACUUAUUGGCUGGAAUAGUUUGGUAACUGCAGUGUGGUGGGAUAUUUGUACACUGUGUGAAGGUGCUGUGAUUGGUGUACUGAAAGGCUGAAUGACCAGUAAGUAGCCAGGCAGGAAGGUGUAGGCAGGAUUUGCGGACAGAGAGAAGAAGGAGGAGGAGGAAUCCAGGCAUGUGAGAGAGACACGAGGAAUCACGUAAGAAGCACGAUGGGCAAUACGUGACAAAAUGUAGAUUAAUGGAAAAGGGUGAAGUUAUAAGAGCUUGUUAAAAUCAACUCUGAGUUAAGGCCAAAGUUUCAUAAUUGAUAACUCUCUGUGUCAUUAUUUGUGAGCUGGUGGCCCAAAGAAAAAUCCAACUACAUUAGGAUAGGGUUUAUUCCUGAGAGGACAAGUAGACAAUCAAUUUCUGUUUGUCAGUUUUCCAAGACUCUUAACUACUUUUUUAAAAUCACCUUU